UUAGGUCUGGCAUGGAGCAUUAGUUUUUAAUUCUUCCAAUAUAAGCCGGAUAAAUAAUAAUGAUCUAAGGUUACACUGAAAAAUAUUAGAUUACUCAAGUAUAUAAAAUAACUUUUUAAUGCUGGAUUAUAUUAAACAAGUUGUUGCAAACUUAUGAACCAAACUUUAAAAGGACAUAACUGUGUUUAAAAGUGUGCAUUCCAGAUGGAUUAAUAAUUAAAUGUAAUCAUACACUCAUGACUUUAUAACAGCUUUGUUAAUAUGAAUAAUCUUUUUCAUUAGUAAAAAUCAAAAUAAGUUCCUUUAUGAUCAGGGUUUAAAAUAAAAAAAAAAAUCAUAAUAAAAACUGGUAAAAUUAGUAAUUCUGAGGACAUAUAUAAUGAAACAUACUGUGGCAGACCAAAACAUUUCAAAAUUAAGUGAGGAGUUACACAUGUGUGACAAAAUGAAGUCAUGAAAUGAACAGUUCUUCCGGCUGAUUAGGACCAAAUGGAGAUGCCUGGUGGGAAAUUCUAAUCACCUAAGUGAAUGAAUUCAAUCCAAUACAAUAAAAUGCUCAUCAAGAUAUCAACACAGGCAUUACUGCUGUAAAAGUUUGUGACAAAAUUUUGUUCAAAGAAACAAUAUUCUCUAGUUUUUAAAAAAUAAUUUUGGAAUAUUUUAUGAUUAGAAUGUGCAGGUACUGAGCAGACCAUUGUCAGAACGUUGUAGAACACACUUAAAGAUUGCUACAAAACCGAACAGCAGCUUGAAAUUAUCUGCAAUUAUUAAAUUCCUUUUGCCUACUAUCUGAUACAUGUGUUAUUAAACAUUGUUACAGAAAAAUUACAAAAGCCAGCAGUAAUUUUCUAUUCAUUUGUUACUUACAGACAUGUUUAAUGACAGACAAAAUGGUUUGGAAUUUAUGGAAAUGACCUGUAACUUCAUCUUGAUUUUGUCUCAACCAUUCAGUGUGUUAUUUUGAGAGAAAAUAUAGAUAUAAAAGAAAAAACAACUACAAAAGCAAUGCUAUUUUUUCUGCUAGGUUAAAACUGAACAAAAAGGCAGCACAUUGUUAAGCGGUGACAAUAACUGUAUUGAUGAAAAUUAUGCUUCAGCAGCACCUUUAAAAAUCGAGGACAAACAAAACAAUACUGAAGUCGAUAAAUAAAUAAUGAAGCUUUUAAACAGUUCUGCAGGCGACAGAUUGAAGUACAUAGUACAAAAGGAUGUAUAUGUUGUAAGUCUACCGAGAUAUAUCCGAUUGGCAGUUUCCCCACUCAAUUUGUGACAUAACAGAGGAAAUUACCAAAGAUGGGUUGCUCAUCGAGCAUGAGUGUACCAUUAUCGUCAGAGAAGAUGCCAUUGCAUUAUUCAGGAAAUAGUGAAGAUCACAGUUCAUUCAAAAACCAUGAUAUGGAAAUAGACUCAAAUUCUGAAGAGCAGGAGAAAGAUUUGAACACUGGAAAGCAUCGCUGUGAUAUAUCUUUUAACAAAACAAAGUCAGGUGAUAAUAUUCACAUAAACAAUGCUCAGAUUUUGAUAAUUUCAAGAGAUUCUCGUGAUCACGACUCUACUGAUGCAUCAAGUGUUGUGCCUAUAUUCAAUAACAACGAACAUGACAGAAAUAUGACCUCAUGCAGUCCAUGCUUAUCAGUGUGUAGUCAGCUGCGAGGAUACUAGUGCAGGAAGAGACUCUCGGUCUAUGAGUUUACCAGGAGGAAUAAAAAGUGUUCUAAAGACUGGUCGAAAUGACCCACAAAGUCACAUGCUAGCAAAUCGACCAAUCAAAACUGUCACGUUUGUUGAAUCAGUUACUGUGGUAACUGUUUAUUAAGCAAGCAAAAUUCUCCAUUUGAGAUUAACUGAUGCAUAAACUAUAUAUUUACGGAAUAUUAAAGUGACAAAAGACAGAGCUUUACACUUUAUUUACGGUGGCUACAGACCCAUUGUGAUAUGGAAUUCUCAAACUGUAAAAUACUGAAUGAUUUUUAUCAUAUUUAUUUUGAAAAUGCAUAAUGUCAUGUUUUCUAUAAACUAAAGCAGUCAUA
rnacentral:misc_RNA from 1 species